CCCUCGUGAACAGUUUCCUUCUUCAACCACCACCAACUUGGAAGGCUUCUCACGAAUAUGGAUUCCACGACACCAUCACCAACUUGGAAGGCUAUUCACGGUGACCGGCGAUGCAACGGUGACCGGCGAUGCAACGGCGAGAUACACGGUGGUCGGAGAUGCAAGGGCAGUGGUCGGAAACAUGUAAAAACGCACAGGGAAGGUCGCAAACGAAUGGAGAAAGGACCAAAACAGAGCAUAUAAAAACACUCAAUUCAAGUGACAAGCAGUCCGUUCUUCAAUUCAUCUGUUGUUCACUUCAAUCUCAGUGUCCUACUCCUCUGUGCAAUUCGAUUUCGUUUUCUAUCUCCAAUUUAGGGUUUCAAACGAUGGUUUCCUCUUUCUCUAUUCUUUUGCCAUCGAUCAAGAUCUGGUAAUAACACGCUCCAAAUAAAUUCAGAUGCAAGCUACUCUUAGGUGAAGAGAAAACGAUCAAACAGAGCAAAGGUGAUAUAGCAGCAGUUUAAUGUGGAAGAUGAAGAGAAAAAAGUUUCCUGUGAAAAGAUACAGGGAUUAAUUUUUGAGAGGACAUCGUUUCAUCCAUUGGAUUUGAUCUAACGGUUUAGAUUUGGAGAAGGAGAGAGAAGGAGACAUGGGGGAUGGAGAGGAUCCGUUUCC
rnacentral:lncRNA from 1 species